AGCGAACGCUGGCGGCAGGCCUAACACAUGCAAGUCGAACGAACUCUUCGGAGUUAGUGGCGGACGGGUGAGUAACACGUGGGAACGUGCCUUUUGGUUCGGAAUAACUCAGGGAAACUUGUGCUCAUACCGAAUGUGCCCUUCGGGGGAAAGAUUUAUCGCCAUUAGAGCGGCCCGCGUCUGAUUAGCUAGUUGGUGAGGUAACGGCACACCAAGGCGACGAUCAGUAGCUGGUCUGAGAGGAUGACCAGCCACACUGGGACUGAGACACGGCCCAGACUCCUACGGGAGGGAGCAGUGGGGAAUCUUGCGGAAUGGGCGAAAGCCUGACGCAGCCAUGCCGCGUGAAUGAUGAAGGGCUUAGGAUUGUAAAAUUCUUUCACCGGAGACGAUAAUGACGGUACCCGGAGAAGAAGCCCCGGCUAACUUCGUG
rnacentral:rRNA from 1 species